CGAGUAAGCUGGACAGCCGCGGCAUGUAUUUGCUGAGGAAAGUCCGAGCUCCACAGGGCGGGAUAACGGCUAACAGCCGCCGAGGGCGACCUUAGGGAAAGUGCAACAGAAAUAUACCGCCGAUAAAACGGUAAGGAUGGAAAGGCGAGGUAAGAGCUCACCGGUGUGCGGGAGACCGCACAGCCAUGUAAACCCUAUCCGGAGCAACACCAACAAGGGACUAUACGUCUGCCCGGCGUGUUCCUGAAAGCGUGGCUUAAGCCGUAUGGCAACAUACGGUUGAGAUAGAUGGUUGUCAUUUUAUGCGAAGGUGCAUAUUCGUAUAAUUUACAGAACUCGGCUUACAGGCUUAGUCGCUUU
rnacentral:RNase_P_RNA from 1 species